AUGGACCUCUUGCGCAGGAACGUGCAUCAGCGCUGGUUCAUCCUCUUUCUGGUGGCAGCUCCCGGAUGUGUCCUGUCCCAGGUACAGCUGCAGGAAUCAGGACCAAAUCUGGUGACGCCCUCGCAGACACUGUCCCUCACCUGCUCUGUCUCUGGAUUCCCUAUAACUAGCAGUAGCUCAGGUAUGGACUGGUUCCGGCAGCUUCCUGGAAAGGGGCUGGACUGGAUUGGUGGCAUAAGCACUGUAGGAAGCACAUUCUAUAACCCAAGUCUUCAGUCCCGAGUCAGCAUCUCCAGGGACACCUCCAAGAACCAAGUUUACCUAAAACUGAGCAACUCAGUAACUGAGGACACAGCCGUGUAUUAUUGUGCAAGAGACACAGUGAGAGCAAGUCCCUCUGAGCCCAGACACAAACCAGCUGAGGGGACAGGAGAGAUGCAGGGGUGCAUGUGA